UGGGGAAUUUUGGACAAUGGGGGAAACCCUGAUCCAGCCAUCCCGCGUGUGCGAUGAAGGCCUUCGGGUUGUAAAGCACUUUUGGCAGGAAAGAAACGUCAUGGGUUAAUACCCCGUGAAACUGACGGUACCUGCAGAAUAAGCACCGGCUAACUACGUGCCAGCAGCCGCGGUAAUACGUAGGGUGCAAGCGUUAAUCGGAAUUACUGGGCGUAAAGCGUGCGCAGGCGGUUCGGAAAGAAAGAUGUGAAAUCCCAGAGCUCAACUUUGGAACUGCAUUUUUAACUACCGGGCUAGAGUGUGUCAGAGGGAGGUGGAAUUCCGCGUGUAGCAGUGAAAUGCGUAGAUAUGCGUAGGAACACCGAUGGCGAAGGCAGCCUCCUGGGAUAACACUGACGCUCAUGCACGAAAGCGUGGGGAGCAAACAG
rnacentral:rRNA from 1 species